AUCGAAAUUCAUUGAUCCAAUGCGUUGAGCACAAGAAGAAACAUUGACAAUUCUACUAUUUUGUUUUGGACGACUACCAGCUUUCAAUAGAGAAAUUAAUUUCUCCCCAGCAGAAGGCGUUCGACAAGCUGUAAUAUUAAUACAUAUAAUAGUAUAUAUAAUAGUACUAGCUUCAAAAUUGUAAAAAGGACAUUAUUAUAAUAUUUACCGAUUAUUACUUC
rnacentral:lncRNA from 1 species